UGUGCACCAUGGAGCAAAGCCCUGCACCUCCACAGCUGCACAACCACCUCCAGAUGGGUUACGGUGUUGCCAACCCCCUGGGAAACCAGGAAGCACCUCCAGGGUUGAGAGCAGCACAUCCUCUGUCUGCACAAGAGGAAGUUCUGGUCAUAGCAUGGCCUGUGUAAGGACAUGCAGGAAGAUAACCCAGGCAUUCUUCCAUCAUCCCACCAAGCCCACAGCCAGCAAACGCAAAGAAGAGAUCACCGACCUUCAUGCAGCUCUGCUCCAUUCCUCCAACACAGGACAGGACCGAAAAUAAUCACUGCAAAGGUCGCAGGGCCUGGGGCAGCAGCAGCAGGACGGCAGCGGAGCGGUGAUGGUGAGAGCCAGCAUUGCUCAGCCGCUGUGACCGUCUGAGCAGUUUUCUGGCGGUCUGCAACUCACAGCUUUUGCAGGGCGUCUGAGAUACACAGUGGUGAUUGUGG
ensembl:lncRNA